GCGGCCGCAGCCUUCGGGUUAGACCCGCUCAUCGCUCCGCCGCCAAGAUGGCCGCCGCCUCCACAGCGCGAGCUGCCAUCAGCAACCUGAGGUGCACAUGAGCAGCCCUGGGCUGACUCCUAUAGCAAUUCAGCGGACGACACCAUGGCAGCCUUCGAUCCAUUCAGGGAAUGCUGCUGCUGCCACAGGGUUAGGAGACCGCAGGCCAGGAGUGAUGGGCAGGCCAAGAUAGGCCUAACUGGGUGACUGCACACUCCUGCGGGGCCCGGGGGGCGGUGCUUCGGCUACUGCCCCAACUUUGGUCCUGCCAGGUGGAGGGCCUAGGGGUGGCUGGAGCUUCAGCAACCCCACUCCCCAUCAGACCCCCAAGAUCCUCCACGAUGUUUAAAUACAUAUCUUACGGUCAAAUGAA